rnacentral:rRNA from 1 species
GACGAACGCUGGCGGUGUGCUUAACACAUGCAAGUGGAGCGACGAACCAGAGCUUGCUCUGGGGCAGAGCCGCGAACGGGUGAGUAACACGUGGGUAACGUACCCCGAUAACCGGGACAACCCGAGGAAACUCGGGCUAAUACCGGAUGUGCUCCUCCCUCAUCAGAGGGUUGAGUAAAGGAAGCUUCGGCCUCCGUAUCGGGAGCGGCCCGCGGCCUAUUAGUUUGUUGGUGGGGUAACGGCCUACCAAGACUGCGAUAGGUAGCUGGUCUGAGAGGACGAUCAGCCACACUGGGACUGAGACACGGCCCAGACUCCUACGGGAGGCAGCAGUGGGGAAUCUUGCGCAAUGCGCGAAAGCGUGACGCAGCAACACCGCGUGGGGGAAGAAGGCCUUCGGGUUGUAAACCCCUUUCAGGAGGGACGAAGGCCGGCCGGUGAAUAGCCGUGCCGGUUGACGGUACCUCCACAAGAAGCCCCGGCUAACUACGUGCCAGCCGCCGCCGUAAAAC